CGCUGGUUUAAUAUAGCCCUUCUGUAUGUUCUCAUAUUGACAAAAAGGGUAACCCUCGAAUGCAUAGCCAUAUUUCGUUGCGUGAAACUCCCCCCUUUUUUUAAUCGUCUUUUGAGUGCUUGCCGUCUCUGUACAAUAUCUAAAGCUAGUUCAGAAUUCAAAGUACUUAUUUUCUAAUUUUGAAACCGUCUCUGUUACAGUGAAAUAUAU
rnacentral:lncRNA from 1 species